ensembl:snRNA U6 U6 spliceosomal RNA
GUGCUCACUUCAGGAGCACGUAUACUAAAAUUGGAAGUAUACAGAAAAGAUUAGCAUGGCCUCUGUGCAAGGAUGACACACAAAUUCAUGAGGCAUUCCAUAUUUUC